CAAUAGCGUAUAUUAAAGUUGUUGCGGUUAAAAAGCUCGUAGUUGGAUUUCUGCUGAGAACGACCGGUCCGCCCUUUGGGUGUGUAUCUGGCUCUUUCUUGGCAUCUUCUUGGUGAACGUUGCUGCACUUGACUGUGUGGAGCGCUACCCAGGACUUUUACUUUGAGGAAAUUAGAGUGUUUCAAGCAGGCAUACGCCUUGAAUACAUUAGCAUGGAAUAAUAAGAUAGGACCUCGGUUCUAUUUUGUUGGUUUCUAGAGCUGAGGUAAUGAUUAAUAGGGAUAGUUGGGGGCAUUCGUAUUUAACUGUCAGAGGUGAAAUUCUUAGAUUCGUUGAGGACCAACCACUGCGAAAGCAUUUGUCAAGGAUGUCUNCAUUAA
rnacentral:rRNA from 1 species